rnacentral:rRNA from 1 species
UACAGAGACUGCAAGCGUUAUUCGGAUUCACUGGGCGUAAAGGGUGCGCAGGCGGUUGGGUGUGUCAGAUGUGAAAUCCCGAGGCUUAACCUCGGAACUGCGUCUGAAACUACUCGACUAGAGUACUGGAGAGGGUAACGGAAUUCACGGUGUAGCAGUGAAAUGCGUAGAUAUCGGGAGGAACACCGGUGGUGUAGACGGCUUUCUGGACCGUAACUGACGCUGAGACACGAAAGCGUGGGUAGCAAACAGG